UACGGGGGGGGCAAGCGUUGUUCGGAAUUACGGGGCGUAAAGGGCUCGUAGGCGGCCAACUAAGUCAGACGUGAAAUCCCUCGGCUUAACCGGGGAACUGCAUCUGAUACUGGAUGGCUUGAGUUCGGGAGAGGGAUGCGGAAUUCCAGGUGUAGCGGUGAAAUGCGUAGAUAUCAGGAGGAACACCGGUGGCGAAGGCGGCUCUCUGGACGGUGACUGACGCUGAGACGCGAAAGCGUGGGGAGCAAACAGG
rnacentral:rRNA from 1 species